rnacentral:lncRNA from 1 species
AGUGGGGAAAAGACCAGCACCUAUGUCAGCAACUUCUGUAUUUACAGGAUGGCCUAAGAUACGAGUGUAAAGACCUGUGAUGGGGCCAGGCACACAGUCGGCGCUGGCACAUGGUAUCCUUGACUUUAUCAAUGACAUCAUCAAAUCCUUGGACCCAUCAGAAGUUCCUGACAUCAAACACACUCAUUCACACAUGCAGAGCAAUAAAAGAUGUCUCCAUGCUGAAGGAGCAUGUGGUCUGGUGGGGAAGAUGCACAUAGAUGAGAGGACGGGCAUCUGUGACCCUCAGAAGCACCUUCCUGUUUCACAGGCCUUGUCUGACCAGCAGGUACUCAUUUCAACUUUUUGGAAGUUGCAUGACUUUGGAAGGCGGAAGCCCUCUCCAGUUGCAGCCAUUUAUGUUGACUUAUACCCACUUUCUUCACUCAUUUAUACAGUGUACCUGACCCCUGAAAGGCUCUGAGUUUUAAACCCUGAAAAUGAACAGCAGGAAUUUCCCUGGUGCUCCAGAGGUUAAGAAUCCAUGCUUCAGCUGCAGAGGGCACAGGUUUGAUCCCUGGUUGGGGAAAUAAGAUCCUGCGAAGUGAGGAAAAAAAUAAAUAAAAAUAAAAUAACA